UAGCUCAGUUGGUAGAGUGCUUGCCUCAUAUGCACAAGGCCCUGGGUUCAAUCCCCAG
rnacentral:tRNA from 1 species